AGGCUCACGGUCGAAGGGCUAUCCACCAAACACCACUGAGCUACCUCGCUGACGACAUUUGCUCGCAAGCUCUGUGAUCUUCAUCGCCACGCUGUGAAGAGGGCGGACGACCCCAAGCUUGUUUGUCGCUGCCGCAGCAGUACGUUUCGCUUGGCACCAUCCUCAGAUUUAAUUAAUUUCAAAUCAAUGAGUAUGGACUUCAAGAGGAGAAUGCCUACCUCCAAAAGACGGUGAAAUGAAGCCCAAUGAUCCACAGGAGAUAGAUAGAGACAACUGUAAAGAUGUCAAGAUGGAGGUGGAGACUCCUAAGUUGCUCAUUUCUCAUCCUAGUAAUCAUUCUAGCUGAAGGACAAGUAUGUCAAAAUAGGGCCUCAACACACUGACAACUCGCCAACCGUCUGAAUCUCAAACAUGAGGAGACAAGCAAGUAUCAGCCAGAAAUCACGGACAAAUAAACAACAAUUCUGUUUUUUUUUUUUUACAUUUAUGUAUCAAAUCCGUACUGUAGUAAUCAACUAUAUU